GUGACAGCCCCGUACACAAAAAUGCACAUAUUGUGAGCUCGAUGAGUAGGGCGGGACACGUGGUAUCCUGUCUGAAUAUGGGGGGACCAUCCUCCAAGGCUAAAUACUCCUGACUGACCGAUAGUGAACCAGUACCGUGAGGGAAAGGCGAAAAGAACCCCGGCGAGGGGAGUGAAAAAGAACCUGAAACCGUGUACGUACAAGCAGUGGGAGCCUCUUAAUGGGGUGACUGCGUACCUUUUGUAUAAUGGGUCAGCGACUUAUAUUCUGUAGCAAGGUUAACCGAAUAGGGGAGCCGAAGGGAAACCGAGUCUUAACUGGGCGUUAAGUUGCAGGGUAUAGACCCGAAACCCGGUGAUCUAGCCAUGGGCAGGUUGAAGGUUGGGUAACACUAACUGGAGGACCGAACCGACUAAUGUUGAAAAAUUAGCGGAUGACUUGUGGCUGGGGGUGAAAGGCCAAUCAAACCGGGAGAUAGCUGGUUCUCCCCGAAAGCUAUUUAGGUAGCGCCUCGUGAAUUCAUCUCCGGGGGUAGAGCACUGUUUCGGCAAGGGGGUCAUCCCGACUUACCAACCCGAUGCAAACUGCGAAUACCGGAGAAUGUUAUCACGGGAGACACACGGCGGGUGCUAACGUCCGUCGUGAAGAGGGAAACAACCCAGACCGCCAGCUAAGGUCCCAAAGUCAUGGUUAAGUGGGAAACGAUGUGGGAAGGCCCAGACAGCCAGGAUGUUGGCUUAGAAGCAGCCAUCAUUUAAAGAAAGCGUAAUAGCUCACUGGUCGAGUCGGCCUGCGCGGAAGAUGUAACGGGGCUAAACCAUGCACCGAAGCUGCGGCAGCGACACUAUGUGUUGUUGGGUAGGGGAGCGUUCUGUAAGCCUGUGAAGGUGGCCUGUGAGGGUUGCUGGAGGUAUCAGAAGUGCGAAUGCUGACAUAAGUAACGAUAAAGCGGGUGAAAAGCCCGCUCGCCGGAAGACCAAGGGUUCCUGUCCAACGUUAAUCGGGGCAGGGUGAGUCGACCCCUAAGGCGAGGCCGAAAGGCGUAGUCGAUGGGAAACAGGUUAAUAUUCCUGUACUUGGUGUUACUGCGAAGGGGGGACGGAGAAGGCUAUGUUGGCCGGGCGACGGUUGUCCCGGUUUAAGCGUGUAGGCUGGUUUUCCAGGCAAAUCCGGAAAACCAAGGCUGAGGCGUGAUGACGAGGCACUACGGUGCUGAAGUAACAAAUGCCCUGCUUCCAGGAAAAGCCUCUAAGCAUCAGGUAACAUCAAAUCGUACCCCAAACCGACACAGGUGGUCAGGUAGAGAAUACCAAGGCGCUUGAGAGAACUCGGGUGAAGGAACUAGGCAAAAUGGUGCCGUAACUUCGGGAGAAGGCACGCUGAUAUGUAGGUGAAGCGACUUGCUCGUGGAGCUGAAAUCAGUCGAAGAUACCAGCUGGCUGCAACUGUUUAUUAAAAACACAGCACUGUGCAAACACGAAAGUGGACGUAUACGGUGUGACGCCUGCCCGGUGCCGGAAGGUUAAUUGAUGGGGUUAGCGGUAACGCGAAGCUCUUGAUCGAAGCCCCGGUAAACGGCGGCCGUAACUAUAACGGUCCUAAGGUAGCGAAAUUCCUUGUCGGGUAAGUUCCGACCUGCACGAAUGGCGUAAUGAUGGCCAGGCUGUCUCCACCCGAGACUCAGUGAAAUUGAACUCGCUGUGAAGAUGCAGUGUACCCGCGGCAAGACGGAAAGACCCCGUGAACCUUUACUAUAGCUUGACACUGAACAUUGAGCCUUGAUGUGUAGGAUAGGUGGGAGGCUUUGAAGUGUGGACGCCAGUCUGCAUGGAGCCGACCUUGAAAUACCACCCUUUAAUGUUUGAUGUUCUAACGUUGGCCCCUAAUCGGGGUUGCGGACAGUGUCUGGUGGGUAGUUUGACUGGGGCGGUCUCCUCCUAAAGAGUAACGGAGGAGCACGAAGGUUGGCUAAUCCUGGUCGGACAUCAGGAGGUUAGUGCAAUGGCAUAAGCCAGCUUGACUGCGAGCGUGACGGCGCGAGCAGGUGCGAAAGCAGGUCAUAGUGAUCCGGUGGUUCUGAAUGGAAGGGCCAUCGCUCAACGGAUAAAAGGUACUCCGGGGAUAACAGGCUGAUACCGCCCAAGAGUUCAUAUCGACGGCGGUGUUUGGCACCUCGAUGUCGGCUCAUCACAUCCUGGGGCUGAAGUAGGUCCCAAGGGUAUGGCUGUUCGCCAUUUAAAGUGGUACGCGAGCUGGGUUUAGAACGUCGUGAGACAGUUCGGUCCCUAUCUGCCGUGGGCGCUGGAGAACUGAGGGGGGCUGCUCCUAGUACGAGAGGACCGGAGUGGACGCAUCACUGGUGUUCGGGUUGUCAUGCCAAUGGCACUGCCCGGUAGCUAAAUGCGGAAGAGAUAAGUGCUGAAAGCAUCUAAGCACGAAACUUGCCCCGAGAUGAGUUCUCCCUGACUCCUUGAGGGUCCUGAAGGAACGUUGAAGACGACGACGUUGAUAGGCCGGGUGUGUAAGCGCAGCGAUGCGUUGAGCUAACCGGUACUAAUGAACCGUGAGGCUUAACCUUACAACGCCGAAG
rnacentral:rRNA from 1 species